rnacentral:rRNA from 1 species
GAUGAACGCUGGCGGCGUGCCUAAUACAUGCAAGUCGAACGAAACUUCUUUAUCACCGUGUGCUUGCACUCACCGAUAAAGAGUUGAGUGGCGAACGGGUGAGUAACACGUGGUCAACCUGCCCAAAAGAGGGGGAUAAUACUCGGAAACAGGUGCUAAUACCGCAUAACCAUAGUUACCGCAUGGUAACUUGGUCAAAGGUGGCUAUACUUCCGCUUUUGGAUGGGCCGGGGGCGCAUUAGCUAGUGGGUAGGGUAAAGGCUUACCAAGGCAAUGAUGCGUACCGGAAUUGAGAGGAUGAGCGGCCACAGGGGAACGGAGACACGGCCAAGACUCCUACGGGAGGCAGCAGUGGGGAAUCUUCGACAAUGGGCGAAAGCCUGAUGGAGCCACGCCGCGUGGGUGAAGAAGGCCUUCGGAUCUUAAAGCCCUUUUGUUGGAAAAGAAAGGCAGUAGGUUAAUACCCCGCUGUUCUGACGGUACCUAAAGAAAAAGCACCGGCUAACUACGUG